rnacentral:rRNA from 1 species
AGUAAAGUCGUACAAGGUUCGUAGUGACCUGCGAGAUCAUAUAAUAUUAGCUGCUGCUUCAUCAGCCUAGCUGCGAUCCAUGUAUGCAACCCCCACUCUUUUAAUAUGAUCAUAUUUUAUAUAAAAAUAAUAUCAAGAUCACUUUCACAACGGAUCUCUUGGCUCUCGCAUCGAUGAAGAACGUAGCUAAGUGCGAUAAGUAAUGUGAAUUGCAGAAUUCCGUGAAUCAUCGAAUCUUUGAACGCAAAUUGCACUUCCUGGUACUCCGGGAAGUAUGCCUGUUUGAGGGUCAGUAUAAUAACAAUCGAGAGUGUUGCUUUUUUUUUUAUUUGGUAUCACUUUCGGAAUUGAGUUAUCUUGACCCCAUGGUUUUAAGUGACUUAAAAUUAAAAUUUCAUACGUAUUUAGGCGUGAUUAGAAUUUUCUAUGCGUCUCGAAUACUGGGAUGUUUUUAUUAGGCAUGACCAUCGUCAUCAUAAUGGUAAACGUGCCUAUAAUUUAUUUUUGAAAAUGACCUCAAAUCAGGUAAGAAUACCCGCUGAACUUAAGCAUAUCAAUAAGCGGAGGAAAAGAAAAUAACAAUGAUUCCUUUAGUAACUGCGAGUGAAGAGGGAAAAGCUCAAAUUUAAAAUCUGUUAGGUUUACCUAACCGAGUUGUAAUUCGAAGAAGCGUUUUCGGUGUUUAUUGGUUGGCCUAAAUCCCUUGGAAUGGGGUAUCAUGGAGGGUGAGAAUCCCGUACGGCUAAUCAUUACGCUCUACGAUACGCUUUCUAAGAGUCAAGUUGUUUGGGAUUGCAGCUUAAAAUGGGAGGUAAAUUUCUCCUAAGGCUAAAUAUUGGCGAGAGACCGAUAGCGAACAAGUACCGUGAGGGAAGGAUGAAAAGU